rnacentral:rRNA from 1 species
GACAGAGGUGGCAAGCGUUGUUCGGAUUCACUGGGUGUAAAGGGUUCGUAGGUGGUCAAGCAAGUCUGAUGUGAAAUCCCAUGGCUCAACCGUGGAACUGCAUUGGAAACUGCAUGACUUGAGUACCGCAGAGGUGGAGGGAAUUCCCGGUGUAAGGGUGAAAUCUGUAGAUAUCGGGAGGAACACCAGUGGCGAGGGCGCUUCACUGGGCGGUUACUGACACUGAGGAACGAAAGCAAGGGGAGCAAACAGG